GCGAGGGUUGCCGAGCCAGGUCAAAGGCGCUAGCUUGAGGGGCUAGUCUCGUAGGGGUUCGCCGGUUCGAAUCCGGUCCCUCGCA
rfam:Methanomicrobiales archaeon 53_19 MPJ_scaffold_241, whole genome shotgun sequence.